rnacentral:rRNA from 1 species
GAUGAACGCUAGCUAUAGGCUUAACACAUGCAAGUCGAGGGGAAACGAUAGAGAAAGCUUGCUUUUUCUAGGCGUCGACCGGCGCACGAGUGAGUAACGCGUAUCCAACCUGCCCACCACUUGGGGAUAACCUUGCGAAAGUAAGACUAAUACCCAAUGAUAUCUCUAGAAGACAUCUGAAAGAGAUUAAAGAUUUAUCGGUGAUGGAUGGGGAUGCGUCUGAUUAGCUUGUUGGCGGGGUAACGGCCCACCAAGGCGACGAUCAGUAGGGGAUCUGAGAGGAAGGUCCCCCACAUUGGAACUGAGACAAGGUCCAAACUCCUACGGGAGGCAGCAGUGAGGAAUGUUGGUCAAUGGGCGAGAGCCUGAACCAGCCAAGUAGCGUGCAGGAUGACGGCCCUAUGGGUUGUAAACUGCUUUUAUAAGGGAAUAAAGUGAGUCUCGUGAGACUUUUUGCAUGUACCUUAUGAAUAAGGACCGGCUAAUUCCGUGCCAGCCGCCGCGGUAA